rnacentral:lncRNA from 1 species
CUACUUACAAAGAUAUUGGCAUGAGUUCUUCUAGUUUGUUCGAGUUGGAGUUAAUUUUUUUAAAAAGAAAGAUUGAUUUAGGAAUUGUCUAAAUGAUUGCAAGAUAAAUCUAAGGUUAACUCCAAUUAAUUCUUGACAUGUUAGAUUCUUGAGGAGUGAUGAAGCUUAUGCAAUGAAUUCAAAUAUAGAAAGUGAAUCAAGAUUUAAUUUUGAUGUGCUAUGCUUAAGGGG